UACGAAGGGUGCAAGCGUUAAUCGGAAUUACUGGGCGUAAAGCGCGCGUAGGUGGUUCAGUAAGUUAGGAGUGAAAGCCCCGGGCUUAACCUGGGAAUUGCUUCUAAAACUGCUGAGCUAGAGUACGGUAGAGGAUGGUGGAAUUUCCUGUGUAGCGGUGAAAUGCGUAGAUAUAGGAAGGAACAUCAGUGGCGAAGGCGACCACCUGGACUGAUACUGACACUGAGGUGCGAAAGCGUGGGGAGCAAACAGG
rnacentral:rRNA from 1 species